rnacentral:rRNA from 1 species
CUCAUUAAAUCAGUUAUAGUUUAUUUGAUGGUCUCUUUGUUCUUCUUUUUACCUACUUGGAUAACCGUGGUAAUUCUAGAGCUAAUACAUGCGCAAGGUCCCGAGCGCGGAGGGCAGGGCUUCACGGCCCUGUCCUCGCAUGCGCAGAGGGAUGUAUUUAUUAGGUUAAAAACCAGCGGCAGGGGGUCAGCAAUGGCCCCUGCCAAACACUCCUGGUGAUUCAUAGUAACUCUUUCGGAUCGCAUUCAUG